AAAAAUAUUAUGUACCCAGCAAACACCAAAUAUAAAUGCAAUAUAACGUGAGAGUAACAUGUAAUAUAACAGACGUUACACUCUAUUUAUAUUAUAGUUACGAAACUUUACUACAUAUAUGUGAUGUAACAAAGUUAUGAAGCUAUAAUAUUACUUCGUUAUUUGUAUGUUACAAUAACCGGACAGUGAUGUAACCACAAUGUUGCGUGGUUACACAACAAUUGUUUUACUUAUGUUAUAUAAAUAUUAUAAAAUUUGAAUCUUGUGAGACUCUAACCUCAAUCGCACAACGUACAUCUCGUGCAUUAGGCGCGCUUUCCCCUAGUGGAUGCUAUAAUGACGAAAGAGAGACGUUGUUUUCUUGCAACUUGACUUUAAUCAGGAUUCUGCCAAUUAUUCUUACAUCAUUCGGACAACUGUUCUUCUUAAAAUUUAAAAGAACGUAAAGAAUAACUGAAGUUCAUAAAAGUUGAAGAAAUUUUCACAAGGAUUAGAACAGCCUGCGACCACAUCAUCGGCAGGUUAGUUGAGUGACAUUAGUCUGUAUACUUUGUUGUAAUUGUUUCAGAUCAGAUUUCGCUUUUUAUUUAUUUCAGUAAUCUAAAAAAGAUGGUUGUACGAUACCUUUAAGAGUCACAUAGUUGCAAUACAAUAUUAAAAUAAAAUUAUAACAUUUGUCAUUAUUCUCUUACCUAGCCUGCCAUAAGAUAAUGACAUACUUGAAGAACUAGGAGGUACACCUUUGGAUAAUCCUUUUGAUAUGAAUUGCUCUGCCAAUUCUUUAUAUAAUGGUUCGCUAAGCUUAAACAGAGACAAACUUCGGUGAAUUUUUUAUCAAUAGCAUACACCAGCUUACAAGAAAGAGAAUUUUGGUGUAACAGCCAACAAUUUUUUAAUAAUGUAUUAAAAAGUAAUAAAAUUUCUUACUGCUUCUCUUUAAAAUUCGAAUAAUAAAUAUGAUAAUAAUGAUAAUCUCAUCAAAUUGCUUGUUCUUUAUUAAAUCUUUUGCGAAGGUUUUCUCGAAACAAGUUAGAUUGUAAUAUAGAUAUUUUCUCACACAAAAAAAUAAACUGUUCACUUCAUCCUAUAACUUUUUUGGUAAAAUUAUGUUAUUUGAUACCUUCAAGGUCCACAUAUUCUGUUCGGCACACUGUAAAUUCCAAGCUGUGAGGUUAAUCUCUCUUUUAUAUCUUUCUUUCCUUACUCGUCUAUUCUUUCUUCUACUUUACGCUCAAAUAAAGUGUUUCUUCCUUUCUUGCUUUUAAUAUAACUAAAAAUAAAACAUAACACAAAGUAUUAAUCUUAUCUCAGAAUACUUACUCCAUACAAAAAAA